GUGUCAGCCGCCGCGGUAAGACAGAGGGCGCGAGCGUUGUUCGGAAUUACUGGGCGUAAAGCGCGCGUAGGCGGAUCGACGCGUCUGGAGUGAAAUCCCGCCGCUCAACGGCGGGGCUGCUUUGGAAACGGUCGGUCUAGGGAGCGGUAGAGGCCGGUAGAAUUCCCGGUGUAGCGGUGGAAUGCGUAGAGAUCGGGAAGAAUACCCGUGGCGAAGGCGGCCGGCUGGGCCGUCUCCGACGCUAAUGCGCGAAAGCGUGGGGAGCAAACAGGAUUAGAAACCCCAGUAGUCC
rnacentral:rRNA from 1 species